AUGGGACUCCGAGGGACGGUUCUCCCCGCGCUCUGUGCAACGGCGUCCCGAGGGAUGGCGCCCUGGCAGCCAUCUCUGCUGGACGGUCCUCCCCCUGGGACUUCGCCCUGAGGGACUCAUCUCUCCGCGCUCUGACAGAAGCCGGACUUGCAGAUGCACUUGUAUGACCGUGGGGUGUUCUGGCAGAUGGCAUCAAUGUGACAGUGAUCCGUGCCCUCCACACACUCAUCUACAUCUGGCCCGGGCAGAGGAAGACACAUCAGAACAGAACUGGUGUCUCGGGUGAGUUUUGAAGGUGUGUUCCCCAAAGGCAGAGUCCCCGUAUGCCUGUGCAUGCCUGAGGUCCCCUUGCAUCCCUCUGAAUGAUUCAGGAAUUCGAGUGAACCCUCACUGCUCAGAAAUACUCAAACCAUGGUGACAGCUCCACCAUGCGCUGAGACACUCCUCUUCAGUUUGAAUAGCACACACUUGACAUGUCAGACAUAGCCAGCCCAGUGCGGACUAGUUUAUCUUUCUUAGCAGCAGACUUGGAGGGAGAGAGACAGGCACAGAGUCCCUGAUGACGACCCAGUGAGCACUGAUAAUGUUUUUCUAGACCCAUACAGUCCAAGUUGGCCUAGAACUCAUUACAUAGCUGAGGGCGGUCUUCAAUGCCUGCUCCCUCUGCCGCCUGCUCCCCCACCCCAUCUCCCAAAUGCUGGGGUUACAGGCAUGUCCUACCCUGCCCAGCUGCUCUCUAGUAAUUAAGGAAGAAAGGGAGAUGCAGCCUGUCUGGGUCCGCCGGAGAGCACGCGAGUCCUGCCUGGCAUCACGCCGCCUGCUGUGAUCCCAGCACUGGGGUACAGCUGCACACACAAGAACAGAACUGGUGUGUCUCUCUCGGGUGAGUUUUGAAUGUGUUCCCCAAAGGCAGAGUCCCCAUAUGCCAGUGCACACCUGAGGUCCCCUCACCGUCCUCUGAACACUUCAGGAAUUCAAAUGAACUCGGAGACCGGGGCAGAAGGAUCAGGAGUUCUAGGUUAAUGAGACCCUGUCCCAAAAACCUAGGAGAAGAUGAAGCCAGCCCCUGACUGUUCACCACACCCUUGUCCACCAUGGCACCAAGGAGCUUUAGAAGAACAGGGCUCUACUUGGGAAGAUUUCUCUUGGCCCUGAGCUAUCAAUGGAAGGACCAGGAACCUGGCAAGCCUCUCUUCCUCUAUGCCCUCUCUUUCUGGAUACUUGUGUGCCAACACUAAUUGCUUCCUCUAGUCAGUGUGACAGACAGAGCCACACUAAAGGAAGAGGCUCCUCCAGAGGGGGUUGGUCAGGGGGAGGGUGGUGGUUAAGGACGUCCAGGUGUGGUGGCACACCACUUGGGAGGCAGCCUGGCCUAUAGGAGUUCCAGGACUAUACUAAGAAACUGUCUCAGGGAAAAAGUGAAAAAGAAAAAGACUUUAAACAGUUGGGAACAACAUGGAACCCUAAAGAAGUGAUGAAGACGAGGUCUCACUCAGCAGAAGAGGUCCUGGGUGGCGGUUGUUACAUUCAGAACCGCACAGGUGACUACCCAGCCAGGAUACAUGACAGCUCAAACUGGUCUGUCCCAUGAGGCCUUAGGGAUGAGCCUCAACCCAGGCCGCACAGCAGAGCCGACUCCCCUAAAAAUGCCUCAGGCCUCAAAGACUGGACUCAACACAUCUGAUUCUAAUGAGCAGCUGGGGUUGAGAACCUUGUCACAGUCUGAGGAGGAAGAGCCCACAUCUCCCCUACGAACUGGAAAAAGACAGUGUGUGGGUUGAAGUCUGCCAGUAAAGGAGCAUUAGUCUGGGAGCAAGGCUGGUGUGACUCCAGAGCUUCCAAGUGAGGUUCGUCAGAACGCAGAUUCUCGGACCUUGUCGCCCACCCAGUGAAUCCAGCUGCUUAAGGCUCCUCGGCUGAGCAGAGAAGCGUGCCACACACCGGCAAUCUCUGCGGUCUGUAGGUACAGUUCUGAGUAUUAGGAGACCAUCUACACUUACCACCCGCCUCAGCCAAGCUCAGCAGUCACGUGCCUGCCAGGCCAUCACCAAGGAAGAGAAAAGACGGAGAGCAGAGAGCCCCAGCAGUCAAGUACCUAAACCAAGUAAGAGACACCUUGUGGAUGGCAAGAGGCUGUUGGGGGAUGUUUGACCAACUGAUGGAAUGGAUACAAAAGCAAGAAAUGUCCUGGGUCAAUAAGGUGGAGAUGACAGCCCCAGGCUGAGAUCCAGCUCUACCAUUUUUCUGGGGAGGCUUUUUAAGUUUCCUUUUAAAAAUUUUACUUGUAGUACAGGCUGACCUUGAACUCAUGAUCCCCCCCCACCCCCCGCUCCAACCUCCCUAGUGUUGGGACAGCAGGUGCGUGCCACCACACCUGGCUUCUUUCUCAUUUUCCGCCCUUAGAUUCCCACACCCCUCCUCCCCAUACAGGGCAGGAUGGCAGUGCCUCCAAGGCUGUUCACGAGUUAAUCUGUGUGAACUGCCUGAGCAAGUACGUGGGUAAGAGCUUGAGUGGAUGAAGCUGAGGGCUGAGCACUGGGGGAAUCUCGGUCCCUUCGGUCCACUGCGGUGGUAGCCAGGAGCCACAUGUGACCCUUUUCAUCUCAAAGACAGCUCUUCAGUCCCACUACCUUAGGCCAAAUAUUCGUGGUGGGCUGUGCAAUGGGAAACGUCCCCAUGGCACAGAGUUCACAGAACAGAAGAGUUAGCUCUAGGGGUUCUAAGUAAGGAACACUUCUGGGUCUAGCCCAGAAUCAUAGUGACUCCUCCAGAAGUCCCUCUCCCCAACCCUGUCGGUGGCGCCUGUCUCCAUGUGCUGGGUCUUGGCUCUUGAUGCAUCAAGCUCUUCCCUUGGUCUCCCUCAAGUGGCCCCCAGGACCAGAGCAGCGGUGAGGCCAACCACAGCAAGGGUAUUCCUGCUGGCUGCCUCGGGCUCUUCCUAGCCUCAGCCAUCUCCCUAGUCUCAAUGUUUUCUGCUCUGGGAGUUCUGGGAGGUGACCAAACCUGCUCCCACUUUCCUCAGUACCAGCUACUCCCUCAACACCAGCUAACCGAUCCACCACAUAUCACCUUCUUCCCGUUCAUGCUGCAGGCCCAACCCACUUCUGUUUUCCAAGACUGGCUCAGAAUUGUCUGCCCUGACCCCAGUAAGCUCCUGGGCCCAGGGGGACUCCCCUCACCCCCCCACCCCACCCCCGAUUUGCGGUCCCUGCCACUUAGCAAACUCUCUGAAGCUGUCUCAUGUUCCACUUCUCCUGUGGCCGGCAACUGCUGAAGAAGGGACCUUCCAACUGUGUAGCUGACGUUUGCUGUCCUGAGGCACAGAGCAGGGAGACCGGGCCCUAAGUCAUACACUUCCACCUCAGCCAGAUGUUCAAAGCUCCCUCUCGGCACACCUGCCAGCCCAGAAUGAGGCCCCAAAGGGACCUCCGUGGCACACAUCGGCAACCGCGACCUAUCCAUCCUCUUAGAAGCUGUCUACCAGCUGCAAGCCAAGCAACACUUCCGGGCGCGAGUUCGUUUAGGCUAGUGGUCCUCAACUCAGGCUGCGCACUGGGAUCUAGGACCUCUGAAGACCCACGGAGGUCAGACCCAGUAAAUCAGGACCUUUCUCUUCCAACUCAUGUAAAUAAGCUGUUUGCCUGGGCUGGGAGACCCUCUGGAGGCAGCAACAUGACACAGUAAGAGAAGAGGUUCUAAAGUGACCACCACUACGCCAGUCCCCGUGCAGGCUUAGGGCCAUAGUUGAGUGGCCUUGAGCAGCCUCUGAACACACCCGCUCCCCUCCCCCACAAGACCAGUCACAGCACCGUCCUGGGAACUGCCACCAGCAUCAAAUGGGUUAAUGCCCACCCAGCACCGGAUGCCAUGGUGUGUGCACACACAGUGGGUGCUCAUUACUAGCUUGCUGUCUUCUCUCAUCCACUCCAGCAUUCUCUUGGAUGCCUGCUUCAUGUUAACUCGGUGCGAUGAAUUCCUCGAGGCCAUGGCUUCUGAACCUUUGAACCCACCAGAACUGCUGGCAGAGCCGUGCACACUUGAGCACUCAGCAAAUGGCUACCAGGUACCUGCACAAGGGGACUCAGGGGUAACUGGAGAAACUAAAACAACUUCCUGGCCUGGAUUCAAUUCCCGGACUGCACGUUAAAGGAUGAAUGCCUUCAAUGUGGUGGCACUCACUUCUAAUCCCAGAACCUGGGAUGCAGAGGCAGGUGGAUUGCUGAGUUGGAGGCCAGCCUGGUCUACACAGACCCAGGGCAACCUGCUCUACAGAGUGAGUUCUGGCACAGCCUGGGCUACACAGAGAGUCCCGUCCCCAAAACAGACUGUGACACAUAUCUGCAACCCCAACACUCCUACAGCAAGAUGGUUUAGAGGCAGAAUUGACAAGUACAGGGGUUGGCCAGCCUGGGUCUGUGCCAUGAGAUAUCCCAUCUCAGCAGGGUGGCAGGUGAGAACCAACUCUCAGAAGUUGACCUCUGACCUCCAUGUAACACUAGGACACGUGCAGACCCACACUUACACUUAGAUCACACGCGCGCACACACACACACACACACACACCUUUUAAUAAGAAAAAAGAGUUGUGCCUGCAGAGGUCAGAAGAGGGCAUCAGAAGGAACUGAAGUUACAGACCUUUCUGAGCCUCUGCGUGGUUGCUGGGAAUUGAACUCAGGACCUCUGGAAGAGCAGUCAGUGCUCUCAACCGCUGAGCCAUCUCUCCAGCCCCCAGGGAGAUAUUCAUUCUCUGGCCAUUCCUCGGAAGCCUCAACAGGAAAGUCCCUGUCACCCAUCAUGUGAUGGCUGAAAUAUAAAAGGUAAAGAAUCGCCUGUUUGAGAAGCCUCGGAACAUUGCUGCUGCCCACACGGCUCCUAUGCUAGAGUCUGUCUGGCAUGCACGAGAUCCUGGCUUCCAUCCCUGCUGUUGUAAAAGUGAGCGUGGUGGGCCUUGCCAGAAAGUGGAAGGUCAGGGUUCAAGGCCACCCUCAGCUACAUAGUGAGUGUGAAGAGGCACCCUCUCCGACUGAGGUUUUGUGUCUGCUUCAGGGUUCCAUGGAGUCUAAACUGGCCUUGAAGCCACUGUGUAGACCAGGCUAGCCUCAGCCUCCUGAGUGCUGGGAUUAAAGGCAUGCACCACCGGGCUGGUGACCCUUUUAAUUUUACAAACGAGGAGACUGAGGCCCAGAGAGUCUGCCACGGAGAGAAGAUUCAACACUGAAUAGCUGGGGCAGGGUUGGGUAGAGGGGGUUCCGUUGGGGCAGGGCCAGGAAGGGUCAGGAGGUGACAGCCUUCUCUGUGCUGUAGGCAAGGCAUCGUCUUGUAGUACUGGCCUCUCUGAGAUGCAAGGUCUGCCCCAGGCUUAACCAGCCCAAACACAGAGUCCCCUGUCCUCCUGUCCAGGCCAAGUGCCACCUCUACUUGCCUCCGGCUACCCUGCUGAAGGAGGCCUCCCAUCCCUUGGCCCAGGGAAAGUCCAGGACAAUGCAUUCAAACCAAAAACAUCUCUGUCUUUCUCCCCAGAACAAUGGCUGUUAACGAGUGUGGAACUGGAGCAGAGAGAAGUGAAUUCCAGAGGCUGAGGGCCUGCAUUUGUGGGGUACAGGGGUGCUGGGGAGAGCUUUUCUUCACCUUCAGCCACUACCCUUUUCCCCAGAGGCAUAUUCCCAGGAAAAACGCUGGGCCCUGCCCCUCACCCUCUCUGAGGACUCAAGCCUGAAGAGGACUGGCACCCCCUCGCCAGCCUCACCCUGGACACUUGCCACCCACCGGGAAGUUAGCGAAGCCAACCGUUUAAAACAGCUCCCUCCACACCCCCAGCAGGGUAACCCGCUUCCAAGACCUUCCUGCUAGAAGCUCAAGGGUGACCUGGAGGUCAGAUCCCCACUUCCCUUACCCCCGGGAACCCCACAAGCUUAAUCUCUCUCUUUUUGUUUUUUUUUUUGGGGGGGUAGUUGAGACAGCGAGUUCUUGUCGCGAGCGGGAGAUGACGCAUUUUUCUGCAGCCACAAGCCACUUUUGACGGGUCCGCCCCAUCGGGGAGCAACGGAAACCUCGUCCCACCCAGCACGGCUUUUGUCUAUAACGCAUGUUUAUCUUAUUUGGAAGAUUUUUGCGGGUUCUCCAGCGCAUACUGCCCUGAGGGGGACGCAGGCCGCGGAGGGGCGAAGGGAAGGGUAAGAGGCACUCUGAGGGCUCGAUGCCUGGUGGUUACAGCACAUUUAGGGUGGGGGAGAAAUAUCCCCCCCCCCGCCCCCGGCACCCUCCGUGCCCCACAAAGACGCUGGAGACCUAGCCACAUCCCAGGCCUGUCUUUUCUGGGUCUCUCCUCAGUACUUGCUCUGAUGGUCUGGUUUGUUUUGGGCUGACUCUCGGGUAGUCCAGGCUAACCUUGAGCUCACUGUGCAGUGGUAGGGGCCCUUGAACAUCUGAUCCCCCGCUUCCUCCCCCAUGAGCCCUCCCCCAUUCCCGCCUAAGUUCUCCCUUCUUUUCAAAGAUAGGGUCUCAUAGAACUCAGGCCAGCUCUCGCUGUCUCUCUAUAGCUGAAGCUGGCCUUGAACUCUUAAUCCUUCUGCCUCACCUCCCAAGUGCUGAGAGCCUGGAAGCAACCACCUCCUGAAUUUUUUCUCCUAAGAGUUACUUCUUUUAUGUUUGUGUGGGUGUGUACCUGACCGGCUUUAUAUGCGCCACAUAAAUGCAGGUGCCCAGCGAGGCCAGGAGAGGGCGCCAGCUAACCCGGAGUUGGAAUUACAUGUGGGCGUUCGCCACCUGAUGCAGGUGUUGGGAACUGAGUCCAGGUUCUUUGUAAAAGCAGUGAGUUCCCUUAACCACUGAGCUAUGUCCCCAGCCUGUCUCCUCAUAGUUCUGACCGUGGGAAUGUUCUUCCUCAGGUUGAGACCAAACUGGCUGCUUCCUGGCUUGCCCUCAGUACUCUCAUCUAAGCUACAUCAGAAUACUCUAGGGGCUGGAGAGAUGGUUCAGGGGUUGGAGAGAUGGUUCAGGGGUUAGGGACACUUCGUUAUUCUUGCAAAGGACCUGAGUUCAAGCCACAGCACCCACACCAGGCAGCUGACAACUGAACUGCUCAUAACUUCAGUUUCAAGGUGUCUCCCUGGCCUCAGGCACAAUUCUAGUCCCCCCCUCCCCACACACACAAAUCUAUAGUCUCCCACUGAGGCCAUCUUUUUUCUUCCUUGUUUCCUCCCUGCCUCCUUCCUCUUCCCUUCUUUACCCCUCUCUCCCCUCCACCCUUUUAACUUACUGUGUAGCCAAGGCUGAUCUCUAACUCACAAUUCUCCUGCAUCGGAUCCCAUUACAGAUGGUUGUGAGCCACCAUGUGGUUGCUGGGAUUUGAACUUAGGACCUGUGGAAGGGCGGCCAGUGAUCUAACCACUGAGCCAUCUCUACAGUUGGAGCAGUCCUUUAUAUUCUUGGGAGUUCCUAUUGUGCUAGUCAUUAGCGCCCUGUGUCCUUGGUGACCACAGAUUUAGGGUUCCCCUUCCCCUGUUGGGGCCCUCUCUAAACUGUCCCAGUAUCCACAGAAGGCCACAGCCUUCCAGAGGGGCUCCCCAGUGUGUGGCACCUCAGAUCAAGAGAUCAGGGGACAGGAGGGAGAAGGGGGUACAGGAUUGUGGCUUUGCCUGUUUCUAGUUGUACCAAGCAGCCCUCCUCCCUACGUGGGAGCCAUGGGCAUUCACCAUGGAGACCUGUCUUGUUCCCCACACACCUCAAAGGUUGUCUCCCAGCCAUUAGUGUCCAUUUUAAUAUAGCUAUUCAGAGGACUAUCUGAUUGAUGUUUUAGGCCAGAGAGGGUGACUCACUCUGGCUUUUUGGACCAGUGGGAUAUUUUGGGACACAAAGCCUUGCAGCACCCAGCUGGCUCCCCGGCCUCUGUGGAUGAUGGACGGCCUCCAGACCCAAGCACCUUUGCCUAAAGCCAGGUAAUUCUCAAGGGACCGUCCCCUCCAGACUGCAAGCGCACCAUCAGGUCAGACACAGAGCAGAGUGCUUGCUUGCCCUGUGGGUCACAGUCUUUCUUUCUUUAAAAAUUUUAUUUUAUUUUUAAAAGAUUACUAUUUUUUUUAAUGUGCAUGAGUGUUUGCCUGGAGAGAGAGAGAGAGAGAGAGAGAGAGAGAGAGAGAGAGAGAGAGUAUACAAUGCCUACGAAGGCCAGAAGGGGGCAUCAUAUCCCUUGGAAUCAGAUAUAAGGAUGGUUACGAGCUACCAUGUGGGUGCUGGGAACUCUACCUGGGUCCUUUGCAGCCAGUGAGGGCUGGAGAGAUGGCUUAGUGGUUAAGGGCACUAGCUGUUCUUCCAGAGGUUCUGAGUUCAAUUCCCAGCAACCACAUGGUGGCUCACAACCAUCUGUAAUGAGAUCUGAUGCCUCUUCUGGUGUGUCUGAAGACAGCUACAGUGUACUCAUAACAUAAAAGAAUAAAUAUUUUUUAAAAAGCAGCCAGUGAGCCAUCUCUUUAGUACGUCUGUCUGUCUAUCUAUUUAUCAUCUAUCUAUCUACCUAUCUAUCGUGUGGUGUGUGUGUGUGUGUGUGUGUGUGUGUGUGUGUGUGUGUGUGUGUUAGGUGAGUGCACGUGAGUACAGGUCCCCUUGGAGGCCGGAGCUGGUAGUUUUGGCAAUUAGGAGCCACCCACUGUUGGUGCUGGGAACUGAACUUGUGCCAUCACCUGCUCGUCACUGCUCGGGCCACCCCUGCAUCUCUGUCACCACCCCCUACACCCGUGAGGAAUGAGUCGUUCCCAUAGGAGCAAGACGGAGUCUUUAACGUAUUCCUGAGCCAGUCCUGAAAAAGAAAGCAGAGAGAGAGGGGAAGGAAGGAAGGACAGGAGGAAGGAAGGACAGGUGGGCGGGCAGAAGGAGGGGCGGAAGGAAGGAAGGAAGACUGGCUACCUCUGGGUAGCAGAAAGAUGUGAUGUCUUCUUUCCUUUUGCAGCACAGGCUAGUCAUGCUCCUGCCUCAGCCUCCUGAGUACCAGCAGAAUGGAGGGCUUGUCAUCUGUUUUUUUUUAUGUUCCGUGUAUUAUACCGAGGUCCCCUGGGUGAGGGGGAUGGGCACCGAGGCCGAUCCCUCCUGACCACCCUGGAGGCCUCGCUGUGUGUGCUGCGUGGACAGCGUUCUGUAUAUAUGUCUGAGGGAUGAACUGAUUGGCUCCUUCUUAUUUUACCCUCCGGGGAGAUAUCCCAGGUUCUCCUGGUGAAGCUCCGUGACGAUGAGGUGCACGGUGAUUUCACACAGCUGAUGGGAUAUGGCGGGGUACAUCCAUGCCUCCUUGUCCAUGCUUAGUGGUGGGACUCAAACCUACGUCUCAUUGCCUCUUAGGCACUUAACCACUGAAGUACACCUGCCAGUCAACGUCCGAAUCUGUUAACUUAGAGACAGGAAAUCGAGUAUCCCAGGUUGACACGAACCUUGUUAUGAGGUGUGUGCUGUGCUGUGGAUGGAAUCGUAUUGAACCAGUUCCCCAACCACUGAGCUGCAUCUCCGUGGAUAACUUCAGCGGACACAGCCCCUGCUCUUCCGCAGAAGACCUGAAGAAGCAGCCACAAGUUCAGAGUUCAGGAGAAAAGCAUGUGCUGAGCCCCUGAGACUUGGUGGGGGGGGGGGUGUUUGUUACUAGGACGAGAUGCAGAUUCUUCUGACUGAUACAUGCCUUUUUCUGUGCGGCCAGACCAUUUUGCUUUAAGAUCGCUUCAUCUGUGGUGUGUGCAGGUACAUGGGUUUCACGACGCACAUGGGGAGGUCAGAGCGUAGCUCGGUUCCUCCAGUUCACGCACGUGCCCGAAUGCCGAGCGGUCGGUCUUGCUGGCCCCGGAUUAUCAAUUUACAAACCCAGACCAUGACGACUCUCUGUGCCCUCUGCGACAUAAGGGAGUGCAGCUUGGUCGGUCACAUUCCCAAAGCUUCAGAAACAACCGGUCCAACAGAGGUGUCAGAUCAAAGCCAGCUGGACAUGGGGACGUCCUAGCCUUGGGUCCCUGGUGGCGAUGCUCAAAACUGGGGAUCAGCUUGCUGAGUCCUAUAGCCCAGAGCUCAGUUCCUCUGCAAGGAACUACAGGAGAGAAGAGGAGGCCUCAGAGGGCAUGUCCUAGUGUGAUUCCAAUUGCUGGGAUGGCCGCCACGACCCCGAGCAGUUUGGGGAGUGAAGGGUUUACUUGGCUUUUACUUCCGGGUCACAGGUUCACCUCUGAGGGAAGUAGGAGAGGAAGGGCAGGCCCAGUGCCAGGCGCCUUUCUUAGAACCCCAGACCCAUCUGUCUGGGAAUGUGGCUGGGCCCUCCCACCCGAUUAGCAAUCAAGAAGAAAACCCCGCCCACCCGCAGGCGGCUUCCUCUUCUCCGGUGUGCAGACUUGAAAGCCAAGAUAGGCUCUCAGAGGUAAUGUCUGGAUCUUCUGUUUAAAUUGCGCGCGGAUGCGGAUGCGGAUGCGUGCUAAGCUUGAGUGUCUGUGAAAGAGGGUUCACAGGCUUGGAGGCAGAGGCCAUUGUGGGAUGCUGGGUGUGUCCGCCUCUCACCUCGUGCCUUGAUGCCUCCAGGCAGGGUCCCUCACUGAACCAGAAGUUCUCUGCCCAGCCAGCUCCAGCAGUCACCUGGUUCAUCCUUCACAACCUCUGAGGUCUCGUGCAUCCACGCCAGGAUUCUUACCUGGGUGUUGGCGUCCAGAACCAGACCUUCUUGUACAGCAGGCACAGCAAGUGAUCUUAACCACUGAGUAGCUCCCCAGCCCCUGGACCCGGGUUGGAAUGGGCUAUCCCCAAUACCAGCUAGAAAGCUAGAAAGACUAUCUCUGAUUUUUUUUUUUUUUUUUUGGCAGCCCCAGAAACAAGGCAAGGUGAAGACCGUUUUAUUGUCCAGCCAAGGCUCUCGGUGUGGACAGCAGCCUUCUGCAGGGGGUGAACUGGGGCCAUCGAGGCCAUUCAGCUUCUCCUGGGACCUGAGCAGAAAGAAGGAAGAGGAGAGACCUGGAAAAGCCAAGGUCAGCCCUCCUGCAGGGGAGCCAUGACGACAGGGUUGGCUGUGAGCCCUGUGGUCUUGACCCUGGGCAGCCAGACCAUGGUGGCUGAAGUGAAUCCAGAUACACAGCUGGGACAGCCUCUGUGGGUGGAAAUGACAUUACUUGGCUUUAAAUAGCUGUUCUCGGGGACCUCAGAGCCUCAGCUAACCGUGCCUGGUUCCUGGGGACCAGCGUCACUGUUUGCCUAGGUCUGGGAAGAGCUCGGGCAUUUUCCUGCCACACGCCAUCCCUCUCACAGCAGGGCUCUCCCAUGCAUCUUUGUGAGAGGUUGGUUUAUUUCUGGCAUCGGGAUUCGAGGUGACCACAGGUGUGUUUCGUCCUUACAGAGUGGUGCCCACUCGUCUACGGGCAACCGAGAGAGAUUUGCGUUGUCUCUGUAGUGAAAGGGAACAGGCAGGGAUAAGGAGAGAACGAGGAGAAUGAUCCCCCCCCCCACACGGACGAGCCCUACUUGUGUUUUUGACGGUUUGUUUGGGGUUUUAGGUUUUUAUUAAGAUUUCCGGUCCCCGGGGGCUGGGGAUUUAGCUCAGUGGUAGAGCGCUUACCUAGGAAGUGCAAGGCCCUGGGUUCGGUCCCCAGCUCCGAAAAAAAAAAAGAAAAAAGAAAAAAAGAUUUCUUUUUUUAUUAUAUAAGUACACUGUAGCUGUCUUCAGACACAGAAGAGGGAAUCAGAUCCCAUUACAGAUGGCUGUGAGCCACCAUGUGGUUGCUGGGAUUUGAACUCAGGACCUCUGGAAGAGCAAUCGGUGCUCUAAUCACUGAGCCACCUCUCCAGCCCAGAUUUUAGUUUUUUGAGACAGGAUCUCAUGUAGCCCAGGCUGGCCUGGAACUCACUGGAUAGCAAAAGUGAGCUUAAGGCACAGAUCCUCCCACUUUGGCUCUGUCUUUUCCUUACCUUAAAAAAAAAAAAUAGCUUUGUUAUAUUACUGUGGGGAAGCGGCGGGCCGUGGUGGACAUUUGGAAGGCACAGGGCUUCUUCUCACCAUCUACCAAGUAGAUCCUGGGAUAUUGGAUUCCCGUCCUCAGAUUUGACAGCAGGAUUCAUUUACCGGCUGGCCAGUCGGCUUAACCAACCACACAGGUGAGCUCCAGGCUCAGUGGAAAGUAAGGCAGAGCAUGAGGGGUUCCAUUUCAUUUUUCUAUAAAAGGUAUUGUGAGGCUAGCCUGGGCUACAUGAGACUGUGCCUUAAGGAAAAAAAAAACAAACAACCAAACCCAUGAUGGCUCACUGGUUAAAAGCACUUGAUGCUCUUACAGAGAAUCUGAGUUCUGAUCCCUGCAUUCAUGUGGGGCAGCUCACAACUGUCUACAACUCAACCUCACAUGUGUAUGCACACACAGACACACACACCACUAGCAUCUCCUUCAUAAAUAAUAAAAUAUUCUUCUUGUUUUGAGAUGGUUCCUCCUGUAGCCCUGGCUAUCCUAGAACUCACUAUGUAGGCCAGGCUAGCCACAAACUCAACAGAAAUGUGCUUGGCUCUGUCUCCCAAGUGCUGGGAUUAAAGGCACCAUGAUGCCCAGCGUAAAUAAUAAAAUAUUUGAACUAUAUAUCUAUAUAUGUGUAUGUGUUGUGAUAGAUAUAUAGAUACGCAUAUAGAUAUAUGUCCCAGGAAAGGUGUGGAAUGAAGAGAAAGGUCUGUGGUUAACGGUGCUUUCACAGCUCCCAGCUGGAGGAAGAAUGAGUUGGCGUGUUCCGUGGACGGCUGCUAUUCUGCCCCAAGAAUAAAUGGCAGAUACACACAACGGUGUCACAGACGUGAUGCUGAAAAGAAGCUAGAGAGGAAGAAAGCCGUCCUGUGGAGCCAUUCAUGCAAUCUCAAAGCCGGCUUGCCGAAGGAGUUCAGGGGCAAUGCUGGCAGAAUGGCACAUGUCAGGCCAUCGAGGACCCAUCGAGGACCUGGCGGCUUUCCUAAGGAAAGGGGGUUUUCUCAGCAAGAUGGGAAGCGCCCCCCCCCCCGUGUCUAUCAAGCACCGGGAUUACAAGUGUGCUCCACCAGUGUGUGGGGUAUUGGGGAUGGAAGUUCGAGCUCACCACCUUCUCCAUGACUGGAUGACCAUGACUGCACCUGCUCCCGUAAACCUGAAAGGCUCGCCCAUCUGAACUGGAUAGAACCAUGCCUAUAGUCUGUAUUUGGUGCCCUGUCUGGGGUGAAUAGAUCUUUUUUCUGUCCCCACCACAGUCAGCAGAAAGGCCUUAGCAGAGAUCCAGGUGCCUCAGAAGCAGCCAGCAGGUACUGGUUGGUUGGGAUCACUGUGGCGGCUAUGGUAGGCGUCCUUGGACCUGGCUUCAAAGGCUGAGGCAGCAUGGUCACUCAGAGAGGGACACAGAAAGGAAAGGUGCUUGCAUGGGGAGCUGGCUUCUCAAGGAAAGACUGCUCAGACCGGGCUGGGCAGGCGGUUAACCAUUUUGUAAAGUUACCUACAUUUUGGUUAAACAAUGACAAGCUUCAGAAUUAUAAACGAGUUUGGUUCCCGGCACUAGAGCACCUUAAUUUUCUAGAGUUUUCCCUCCCUGCCCUCUUGACCGCAAGUAAUGGCCGACCAUGAGAGAUGUUUAUCACCACCUGGUAUUCUUUAACUUUUCCCCCAGCCAACUGCGACAAGAUGGAAACACUGCCCUCCCCUCCCUCUCGGCCUUCUCUGCCCUGUGUAACUGCCCUCGCUUGUAAGUAGUCACUGGAUGCCGGAUGCUUUUACCCAGGCCCCCUUCUGCUGGCCUUUUCCAGAAUAAACCCUUCGUCCUUGAGUCAAGUCUCCCCACAGGCCUAAAAGGAUACACAAGAGUUGCCAACACAGAGUGGAGGAUCUUGGGAAAGCACCCCCCCCCCCCAGAUGCCACGAGAAGGAAGGGAGUUCGUGGACGCUGAGGCCUCUGUUGAAUAUAUCUAUUAAAUAUAGUCUAUUCGAUGGAUUGAGGCCCAGCCUGUUCACUUAGGUUUACACAUCAUUGUUGGCCUCUCUCGGAGAGAAAGGAGCUGUUUUGAACAGAGAGCUCACAUACCCUGGAGUACAUAGAAAUGGCUGCCCAGUGACUUCUGGGGGUGGUGGGGUUCUGCCACCUCCCUCCUGAUCUGCCCCACCAGUGCUGAGCUAGCAGGUAUGGGCCACCAUACCCGUCUCUCAUGCUGGUGCUGGAGAUCCGAACUUGGGGUCACCUUCUGCAGCGGGCACUUUCUUGACCCGACCAUCUCCCCUCAUGGCUCCUACACCCAUUCUCCAAAAAGUGUGGUUUCCUCCUCUGGUGCUGCGCUCACUGUAUGCCUGUGACUUUCUGUAAGUCAGAAAACAGUUGAAGGCCUGUGGGCGGAGCUCAGUCGCACGCAGGCAGAGUGCUUGCCAAGCAUGCUGGUCUGCUUUUAUCAACUUGACACAAACCAGAGUUCCCCGGGGAGAGGAACCCCAGUUGAGGAUUUGGCGCAGUCAAAUUCAUCGAUGGGGAUGUGUUCUUUGCUUGCUUUCGCUUACUGAAAUUUAAAACAAAACAAAACAAUUUUAUAUACAAGUGUUUUUGCUGGCUUUGUAUGUCUGUACACCACGAGGGUGCCCAAAAUGGCCAGGAGCGAGUAUCCAGUUCCCCAGAACUCGAGUUACAGGUUGUAGGCUCCCCAAACUGGGCACUAGGAACUGAACCUGGUCCUCUUCAAGAUUAGUAAUGACAUUCAACCACUAAGUACCUCUCCAGUCCCCAGUGGGGUGCAUUCUUGGUUGCUAAUUGAUGUACCCAGGCCACCAUGGGUGGUAACAUCCUGCCCUAGGCUGUGUAGAAGAGACAGAAGCCAGGAACUAGCAUUCCUCCAGAUUCCUGCUUAAGGUCCUGCCUGCAGGUUCCUGCCCUGACUUCCGGGGUGAUGGAUUGUGACCAGGUAGCCAUAAGAUGAAAUGGGUCCUUUCCUCCAUACGUUGACUGUCCUCAGUAUUUUGUCACUGUUGCAGAGAGGCCAGCCAGGAUGCUGGUAGACCUCAGGUUCUCCCCUGGCACAUGCAUUGCGGGUUUGAGGGCUCUAGCGAUGGUUGGAGACAGACACGGGG